rnacentral:snRNA from 1 species
AGCUUUGCAUAGUGGCAGUAUUGUAGCCAAUGAGGUUUAUCCGAGGUGCGAUUAUGGCUAAUUUAAAACUUUUCCAAUACCCUGCCGUGACAACUUGCAAUAUAAUUGGCAUUGGCAAUUUUUGACAGUCUACGGUAGA